rnacentral:rRNA from 1 species
AGUUUCGAUCAUGGCUCAGAUUGAACGCUGGCGGGAUGCUUUACACAUGCAAGUCGAACGGUAAGGCACGGACUUCGGUCUGGUGGCGAGUGGCGAACGGGUGAGUAAUGUAUCGGAACGUGCCUAGUAGCGGGGGAUAACUACGCGAAAGCGUAGCUAAUACCGAUACGCCCUUCGGGGAAAGUGGACCUUUCGGGCCUCGCACUAUUAGAGCGGCCGAUAUCGAUGAAGCAGGUUGGAAAACGCUCACCAGGCGCGACGAUCCGUAGCUGGUUUGAGAGGACGACCAGCCACACUGGGACUGAGACACGGCCCAGACUCCUACGGAGGCAGCAGUGGGGAAUUUUGGACAAUGGGGGAAACCUGAUCCAGCCAUCCUGGCGUGUGCGAUGAAGGCCUUUCGGGUUGUAAAGCACUUUUGGCAGUGAAAGAAACGGCACGGGAUAAUACCCCGUGCAACUGACGGUACCUGCAGAAUAAGCACCGGCUAACUACGUGCCAGCAGCCGCGGUAAUACGUAGGUGCAAGCGUUAAUCGGAAUUACUGGGCGAAGCGAUGCAGGCGGUUCGGUUAGAAAGAUGUGAAAUCCCAGAGCUUAACUUUGAACUGCAUUUUUAACUACUGAGCUAGAGUGUACGAGGCAGGUGGAAUUCCGUGUAGCAGUGAAAUGCGUGUAUUAUGCGGAGGAACACCGAUGGCGAAGGCAGCCUCCUGGGAUAACACUGACGCUCUGCGCACGAAAGCGUGGGGAGCAAACAGGAUUAGAUACCUGGUAGUCCACGCCCUAAACGAUGCCGCUGUUGGGGCCUUCGCCUUGUAGCAGCUAACGCGUGGAAGUGGACCGCCCGGGGAGUACGGUCGCAAGAUUAAAACUCAAAGGAAUUGACGGGGACCUGCACAAGCGGUGGAUGAUGUGGAUUAACGGAUGCAACGCGAAAAACCUUACCUACCCUUGACAUGUCUGGAAUCGAAGAGAUUUGGGAGUGCUCGUAAGAGAACCCGAACACAGGUGCUGCAUGGCUUGCCGUCAGCUCGUGUCGAGAUGUUGGGUUAAGUCCUGCAACGAGCGCAACCCUUGUCAUUAGUUACGCGAAAGGGCACUCUAAUGAGACUGCCGGCAGAAACCGAGGAAGGUGGGGAUGACGUCAAGUCUCGCGGCCCUUAUGGGUAGGGCUUCACACGUCAUACAAUGGUCGGGACAGAGGUCGCCAACCCGCGAGGGGAGCCAAUCCCAGAAACCCGAUCGUAGUCCGGAUCGCAGUCUGCAACUCGACUGCGUGAAGUCGGAAUCGCUAGUAAUCGCGGAUCAGCAUGUCGCGGUGAAAUACGUUCCCGGGCCUGCACACACCGCCCGUCACACCAUGGGGAGUGGGUUUUAACAGAAGUAGUUAGCCUAACCGUAAGGAGGGCGAUCACGGUAGGAUUCAUGACUGGGGUGAAGUCGUGAACAAGGUAG